rnacentral:lncRNA from 1 species
AACCAGUGGAUUCAGGAUUUUCGAAAAAACUUAUUGUCACAAUGAUUUGUGAUUUAAGUGCUUUUUUCUUUCGCAAAGCGUCUCGAGAAACACGCAGCAAUGCCACUAGUUUUCUCUGUAAAAAUCCUGAAAAAAGAAAGAAAAAGGAAAGUUAAAAUAGAAAAAUCUGUAGAGAUCCUAAGAUCAAAAAAAUAUUUCAAAAUUGCGGCCUUGAAGGAGGGGGGGGGGGGCGAUUUCGUUUAGGUGAGAGUUUACCUCUGUAUCCACGUAGUCAAAUUCUCCAUGCACAGAUAAGGAGCAAAUUAAUACAUUCGCAGGGUUGCCAUGACUGCAGUCUUGGUAUCCUCAAGCCACACAAAGUUGCACCUCUACCAACGUAUUACUCCUAAUCGUGAAUUUAAUCUUUAUGAUAACCGGGGGCAUCAUUGUAUUUCUCGCGAAAUUUUACGUGAAACCAGGAGUCGGCACGCAGGAGCUCCAUUUAAGAAUAUCGUGGAAUUUUACCUAAUUGAUGGAAUAUUUGAUCAAUCUGGCCGUCUGGCGGUUCGGAGAUAUGAGACUGUGACAAUGCGCACGAAACGAGCCGCGAUUGGACAAACAAUGUGGACUUGCGAAUGAUAGGUCCAGUGUCCACUCUCCACUCCCAAAUAUCAGUGCGUGCACGCACGGAAUGCAUCCGACAAGAAAACACGCACAUGGCAGUUUCGCAUGCCGUGGAUAAGUUUACAGUGAACUACAACCGCGCUGCGUCCUAUGCAAACGGGAAUUUGCAUAAUCCACGCUGAUCUGUCUCCACUGAAUUACACUGCCGCAGCUCACUGUUAUUUACUUUUCCCGGCUUUUUCUUAAAAAGGAAAAAAAGUAGGUAGCAAUAACUGUAAGUUCCUUUAUUCUCUUCGCCCAUGGAGCAGAAAUCAAGACUUGUAGUUUUUAUUAUGAAGUAUUUUUUGACAGACAGAUUAUCCUUUUAUUGUAAUAAAAUCUCGGUUUGCUAGUAAGUUUUUCCAGCUUAUGAAGGAU